rnacentral:rRNA from 1 species
GAUGAACGCUCGCGGCAGGCCUAACACAUGCAAGUCGAGGGAGGGGCCUUCGGGCUUCGACCGGCGUACGGGUGCGUAACGCGUAUACAAUCUGCCUUUCACAUAGGGAUAGCCCGAAGAAAUUUGGAUUAAUACCUAAUGGUAUAUAGAUGUGGCAUCACCUUUAUAUUAAAGCUGAGGCGGUGAAAGAUGAGUAUGCGUUCUAUUAGCUAGUUGGAGAGGUAACGGCUCCCCAAGGCGACGAUAGAUAGGGGUUCUGAGAGGGAUAUCCCCCACACUGGUACUGAGAUACGGACCAGACUCCUACGGGAGGCAGCAGUGAGGAAUAUUGGACAAUGGUCGGAAGACUGAUCCAGCCAUGCCGCGUGCAGGAAGACGGCCUUAUGGGUUGUAAACUGCUUUUGCAGGGGAAGAAUAAGGACUACGCGUAGUUUGAUGACGGUACUCUGCGAAUAAGCAUCGGCUAACUCCGUG